UCCAGCGUGGCAGAGGUGUGGGGAUUUCUCGCUCAGAUGCUGGGCUCACAGCUCAGGAUAUUCUUCUGAGACCUGGCCCAAGGCAAGCUAUUCUUACAAAGCUAUGGAUAUGUGGACCAUCGCUGCAUCUACUGUGCUGCUAUACUCAGAACUUCAAGCGCCGAGAAAACUGUCUUGCUGUAGUUACCUUGUCAUCCCUUUCCCUUUGUACAUCUGCUGGUAAAGCAGCCUGGCAAUAGACAAAACUUUAAAUACAUUAGACAUGCAUUUGCAUUUG